AUGUCGUUCGCCGUCUUCUUCAUUUCACUUUAUCUCCUUCAUCACAGACUCAAACGUCUCAACCUUGAUCUCCUCCGACUCGGUGAUACUCAGGCACGUAAUCGAUUCAAGAGAAACCAACAACUCAUCACAGAAACAAAUAGGAAAGAGAGUGAAACAGCGUUUACCUAUCAGAACUCGUCUGGUGCGUCUUCAAGCACGAAGAAGAUGAAAAGAAAUUCAGAGAGUCAUGCUUCACAUUCUUCAGGGAAUGAUACGAAGGUGCAGUUGUGA